AUUGAACGCUGGCGGAAUGCUUUACACAUGCAAGUCGAGCGGCAGCGCGGGGGCAACCCUGGCGGCGAGCGGCGAACGGGUGAGUAAUACAUCGGAACGUGUCCUUAAGUGGGGGAUAGCUCGGCGAAAGCCGGAUUAAUACCGCAUAAGCUCUGAGGAGGAAAGCGGGGGCUCCGUAAGGACCUCGCGCUGUUGGAGCGGCCGAUGUCGGAUUAGCUAGUUGGUGGGGUAAAGGCCCACCAAGGCGACGAUCCGUAGCUGGUCUGAGAGGAUGAUCAGCCACACUGGAACUGAGACACGGUCCAGACUCCUACGGGAGGCAGCAGUGGGGAAUUUUGGGACAAUGGGGGCAACCCUGAUCCAGCCAUUCCGCGUGAGUGAAGAAGGCCU
rnacentral:rRNA from 1 species